rnacentral:tRNA from 5 species
GGCGGUGUAGCCCAAUGGCAGGAGGCGGCAGAUUCAAAACCUGUACAGUGUGGGUUCGAAUCCCACCACCGCUAC